AGACUAGUUUCCGAGGCUCAAAUGAAUAGAGAAUCUGAUUCGCUAUCACUAUCUUUGCAAGGUGGGGGAGAAGGAGAAGGAAGAGGAGGGUUGGUCCAGGUCAGUCCCACCCCUGGCGCUGUCCGGAGUCCAGCCGUCCUUCGCGGUCGCGGCCGAGGCAGUCCCGGACUCCAGGGUUCUUCUGCUCCAGGGACCCGAGGGAGCGCAGGACCGCGCCGCGCGGAGCAGCGGAGAGCCCGGCCCCAUGUCCUCAGAGAACAUGUUAGCUGUGCACUUUGACAAGCCGGGAGGACCAGAAAACCUUUACUUGAAGGAGGUGGCCAAGCCCAGCCCAGUAGAAAGUGAAGUCCUCCUGAAAGUGGCGGCCAGCGCCCUGAACCGGGCAGACUUACUCCAGAGACAAGGCCAGUAUCCCCCACCCCCGGGAGCCAGCAGCAUUUUGGGAUUGGAGGCAUCUGGACACAUAGCGGCGCUGGGGCCCGCCUGCCAGGGGCACUGGAAGAUUGGGGACCCAGUCAUGGUUCUGCUGCCUGGCGGGGGACAGGCUCAGUAUGUCACUGUCUCUGAAGGGCUCCUCAUGCCUAUUCCAGCAGGACUGACCCUGUCCCAGGCUGCAGCCAUCCCAGAGGCCUGGCUUACCGCCUUCCAGCUGUUACAUCUCUUGGGACACGUUCAGGCUGGAGACUCUGUGCUAAUCCAUGCAGGAUCAAGUGGUGUGGGCACAGCUGCCAUCCAACUCGCCCGGAUGGCUGGAGCUAUUCCUCUAGUCACAGCUGGCUCCCAGCACAAGCUUCAGAUGGCAGAGAAGCUUGGAGCAGCUGCUGGAUUCAAUUACAAAGAAGAGGAUUUUUCUGAAGCAACACUGAAAUUCACCAAAGGUGCUGGAGCCAACCUUAUUCUAGACUGCAUAGGUGGAUCCUACUGGGAGAAAAAUGUCAACUGCCUGGCUCUUGACGGUCGCUGGGUUCUCUAUGGUCUGAUGGGAGGAAAUGACAUCAACGGACCUCUACUUUCAAAGCUACUUUUUAAACGAGGAAGUCUGAUCACCACUCUGCUGAGAUCAAGGGACGAAAAGUACAAGCAAAUGCUGGUGGAGGCUUUCACAAAACAGAUUCUGCCCCACUUCUCCACGGAGAGCCCACAACGUCUAGCGCCGGUUUUGGACAGAGUCUACCCCGUGACUGCGAUCCAAGAGGCCCAUGCAUACAUGGAGAGCAACAAGAACGUGGGCAAAAUCGUCCUGGAACUGCCGCAAUGAAGGAGGAGGGGGUAGUACUCAGGCCUUCCCAGGACAAACUUGGACAAAGUUCACAGUACGCAGGAAGGAGAUCGGGCUCGUUUUGCCCCGGAGUCUUUUCGAAAGGGGAUAUUACGUAAGCACGUCUCGGCGUGAGACGGCGAUAUUCCGGCGUGUUUUAGAGCUUCCGGUGGUGGAUGUUGAUGUCCUGCGUUUGACGCGGUGUUGGGGUCUUG